rnacentral:rRNA from 1 species
CCCUUAGAUGUUCUGGGCUGCACACGUGCUACACUGGCAGGUUCAGCGAGCUUCAUGCCCUGAUCUGAAAGGAAUGGGAAAUCUUUUCAAAACCUGCCGUGCUUGGGAUAGAUGUUUGCAAUUAUUCAUCUUCAACGAGGAUUGCCUUGUAAGCGCACGUCAUCAGCGUGCAUUGAAUACGACCCUGUAUUCUGUACACACCGCCCGUCGCUCCUACCGAUUGAAGUUUUCGGUGAGUUGACAGGAGGAUUUUUUUGAAACUGGUUCGCCAUUGGAUUUUAGAUCCAAAUGCCAACGAAUCGAUGGCUUUAGAGGAAGGAGAAGUCGUAACA